UGUCACGGGAAGCGCACGAGUGAGUGAACCGCAUGCAGCAAGACGAAAGGUGACUGCGCCCUAGCUGACACCAAACUAACUAUUUCAUCCUCCUACCGCGGUUGUGUCUUAACUUCCUCACACUGUCAGGACAGUGUCGGCUUUUUAAAAGGUGACCACUGUAAACCAGCAUCGAUGGAGGGACACUCUAAUCAACAUUUUGUACAAGGAUCUCUGAAAAAGAGGUCACUGCUCUUGGUGCUGGACAUGGACAUCACAGUUCUGUGAGAACUUUCCAGUCACCCCAUUAUCAGGAUGAGGAAACUGCCAUGGAGUAUGAUUCAAAUGCAAGUCUUGAGGACGAGAAUGAAGAGAUUUGACUGAAGACACCGUCACCUUCCAGAUGAACCUGCAAGACAUAUUUAAUGCCAUUCUGACAAGCAGGUUGUUAAUGUUUUGUUUUUUAGAUGUCAUACAAGGUUUGGUCUAUAGCCAUGCUGGCAGCUCUGAGGGGCUAUGCUUUGAGUGCUUUGAGAGAAAUGCUAACAUCAUGCUGAUAUCCGAUGACAAUGCUUGCAUGCUGAGUUUUAGAAAUUUUUAGAAAGUUAUUGAUUUCCAACUUGUGUUAACAGCUAUGUUUAACUCUCAAAUAACCAGUUCAAGACUAGCAUGUGAGUACCAUAAACAUCUUUAUCCUCUCUACCAUCCAUGCGUGACAGCUGCACAAACCCAUAAUUGUCAAGACAUUUCAUAAAAACGACAAAUGUCACCUUAAUGGUGACACUAGAGGUGAAGGAUCAACAAAUUUAUUGUUGAUUCAUCCCCUGGGGACCCUGAAUGGAUGCUGAGAUGUUUUAGUCUGAACCAAACACGGACAGACCUGCCCUAGCGCCUCGAGCAUGGCUAGAAGAAACAAACAAAAAAAUAAAUUAACUUGUCUCUCAGAGUCACCCGAAAAUGUGAAUGUGAAUUCUGACAUUUCUAAUGGUGUGUUGUUGGUAACAUGACAAAAAUAUGGAGGUGUGUAUAGUUUUUAUAACAUGUAUCAUAAGUAACCUGAUUCAUCUUUACAGCCUACUUUUCAUUAUUAUUUAUCUCUUUAUAUAUAUAUAGAGAUGUAAAUAAGAUUUAUUUUUGAUACAAAUUAUUUUGUAGAUGAUGUGUACUAAUCAUUCCACCUUAUUUUUGUUUUGUUGGUAUUACUGUCAGUCAACAAUGUCAGAAUUUGAAUUCUGUUCUCUGAAUAUUGAACAAGUUAAGAAA